GCUGUCGCUCGGGUCCGGCUGCGGGCCACAGGCCGCGGAUCGCGCUCUGCCAGCGCCCCACGCCCGCAAGCGCGGCCCCUCCGCCACCUCGCGGCCCGGCCUGACCUGUUAAUCACGUCCCCACGGCUCUCCUAGCGGGGACACCGCCGUCUGCAGGCUCCGUCCCCACAGUGCCCAGACCCCGGGAAGUUUGUCAGUCAGCACCCUGAUGCCAGCCGAUUCUCAAAAAGCCAGGAGGAUCCAAGCAGAUGAUUUGCCAGACGGUACUGCAGCAAUGGAGAUGAACAGAUAAUUCACACAGAAAGAAGGACGAGGGAUUGGAUCAAGCUGGGGCGAGAUAGAGUGGGGAAGUGAUGAGCUAAGAAAAAUUAGCCUGCAAGCAUGACGUGUCGCACGUCAGCAAGGCUGCAGCCUUGGAUUCUGAUGUCUUGAGAAGAGCGAUUCACCUGUGAAUUCUCACAGCCCUGGCCUCAGAAAGACGGCCCGGGACCAGGCCCGAUGGCACCCCUCUUCCCAGCUCUCAGCCAGGGCGGAAGGCACAAGUGAUGGCCCUGGCCUCCGCAGUCACACUCCUCCUGAAAGCUGACUGGCUGAACCUCACCUCUUGGCUAGCUUGCCACCCAGCUCUUGAGAACAUGUUUGUCCAAGGCCUCUUGGCAGGUCUCGAUGACUCCUUCCCCUAAGGGCCCCCAGUCACCUGCUAAGGCUCCCAGGCCCCUGUGAAACUGGCUCGGUGCCCCAAUAGACUCUCCACCUCCAGACCCUAAGCCGGCCAGCCCAGAGUGCAGCAAGGCACCACACCUACCCUGUGAGGGCACUCGGGCCCCGCGCUGGCCUCUGACAGCACAGGAAGCUUCUGCAUUCACGCUGAGGCCUGUCUUUUGCCUUCCUUAGAUAAACUUGCCAGAAACCCCAUAGUGCUUCAGGCCUUUGGGAUAAUUCCCCUGAGCCCCAUAGGCCAGGGCCUGGCAUUCAGUAGUUGCUCUAAAAUUGUGUUUUCACCCACUCUCUUCCAGGUAGUCAGGACAGGGAAGCCCAGGCUUCUGGUCACCACUCACCAAAUCUCUCCCCUGCCCCUCUAUCAGGGAUCAGCUCCUAUAGGCCUUAACCUAGCAGACUAGGUAAAGCAGAGCUGGUGGCAUCAAGGGUCCCGGGGGCUGCAGAGCCCUGGCUGGUACAGGAGGCUGGGCUCUCCUGUAGGUCUGCACCUUCCCAGCAACGCGGAGGGCACCAGACCCUGCCUGCUCCAGAGGCUGUACCUGAAAGAUGAAGUGCUCGUCAAACUGCG
rnacentral:lncRNA from 1 species